rnacentral:rRNA from 1 species
GACGAACGCUGGCGGCGUGCUUAACACAUGCAAGUCGAACGGAAAGGCCCUGCUUUUGUGGGGUGCUCGAGUGGCGAACGGGUGAGUAACAGGUGAGUAACCUGCCCUUGACUUUGGGAUAACUUCAGGAAACUGGGGCUAAUACAGGAUAGGAGCUCCUGCUGCAUGGUGGGGGUUGGAAAGUUUCGGCGGUUGGGGCUGGACUCGCGGCUUAUCAGCUUGUUGGUGGGGUAGUGGCUUACCAAGGCUUUGACGGGUAGCCGGCCUGAGAGGGUGACCGGCCACAUUGGGACUGAGAUACGGCCCAGACUCCUACGGGAGGCAGCAGUGGGGAAUAUUGCACAAUGGGCGGAAGCCUGAUGCAGCAACGCCGCGUGCGGGAUGACGGCUUUCGGGUUGUAAACCGCUUUCGCCUGUGACGAAGCGUGAGUGACGGUAAUGGGUAAAGAAGCACCGGCUAACUACGUG